AUGAAAUCUCUGCUGCUUUUCCUGUCCCUGUUCUCCGCCCCCAGCUAUGUCCUCUCCCCAGUGCAGCUGAUCCCGUCCGGCCCGGGGGCGGUGAAGCCCAGAGAGACCCUUGCACUGACUUGUGCUGUCUCGGGUGUUUCCAUCAUUGAUGGCAGCUACGCCUGGGACUGGGUCCAGCAGCCCCCCGGGAAAGGACUGGAGUGGGUAACACAGAUAUACCCACCUGACGGGGGAAAGUGGUUUGCUGCAUCUUUCCAAAGCCGGACCACCAUCUCUUCGGAUACAUCCAAGAACCAGUUCUCCCUGCAGCUGGCCUCCCUCGCAGCUGCAGACACCGCCACGUAUUACUGUGCCAGAGAGACACAACGACACAGAGCAAAGCGGGGCUGGUACAAAAAGGGGAAGCGGAUUGUCUAG